UGAGGAAUAUUGGUCAAUGGACGCAAGUCUGAACCAGCCAAGUAGCGUGCAGGAUGACGGCCCUAUGGGUUGUAAACUGCUUUUAUAUGGGGAUAAAGUGGGGAACGUGUUCCCUUUUGCAGGUACCAUAUGAAUAAGGAUCGGCUAAUUCCGUGCCAGCAGCCGCGGUAAUACGGAAGGUUCGGGCGUUAUCCGGAUUUAUUGGGUUUAAAGGGAGCGUAGGCCGUUUGGUAAGCGUGUUGUGAAAUGUAGGAGCUCAACUUCUAGAUUGCAGCGCGAACUGUCAGACUUGAGUGCGCACAACGUAGGCGGAAUUCAUGGUGUAGCGGUGAAAUGCUUAGAUAUCAUGAAGAACUCCGAUUGCGAAGGCAGCUUACGGGAGCGCAACUGACGCUGAAGCUCGAAGGUGCGGGUAUCGAACAGG
rnacentral:rRNA from 1 species